CGCAGACAGACGUUUUCGUUCCAUCCGGAUCAUGUCAGUGUCGUUCAGAGGCAGUAAUUUAUUUUUUUAUUGUGGGGAUGUGGGUUUCCGAAAGGUCAGUUUGCUGCCGCCGUAGAACUCGUAAAGUUUUGUGUGGGGAUGAGCGAUGCUGCCUCUUAUUUCUGGGUCUGCAUUACCUGUAGGUCUCUGCCCCAAAGGGCCACCAUGCAGGGGGGAAAAAAGGUCAAGAGCGUAUGCAAAUCAGAAGCGCUAUCUGAGCCAGUGUCUUCCUUAUAAUUAACAGUAUUAACAAUGUUCUUCGUGUUUUGGAGAGUAAGAUUUUAUGAAACCAUAUUCUUCCUCUAAGCAAUAAACUUUAGUUAUCUGAAUGGGAAA